AAAUUGAAGAGUUUGAUCAUGGCUCAGAUUGAACGUUGGCGGCAGGCCUGAUACAUGCAAGUCGAACGGUAACAGCGGAGCUUGCUCCGGCUGACGAGUGGCGGACGGGUGAGUAACGCGUAGGAAUCUGCCCAGUAGUGGGGGAUAGCCCGGGGAAACCCGGAUUAAUACCGCAUACGCCCUACGGGGGAAAGGCCGGGAUCUUCGGACCGGUCACUAUUGGAGGAGCCUGCGUUGGAUUAGCUAGUUGGUAGGGUAAAGGCCUACCAAGGCUACGAUCCAUAGCUGGUCUGAGAGGACGAUCAGCCACACUGGAACUGAGACACGGUCCAGACUCCUACGGGAGGCAGCAGUACGGAAUAUUGUCCAAUGGGCGCAAGCCUGAGACAGCCAUGCCGCGUGUGUGAAGAAGGCCCUAGGGUUGUAAAGCACUUUCAGCAGGGAGGAAAACGGCCGGAUUAAUACCCCGGUUUUUUGACGUUACCUGCAGAAGAAGAUCCGGCUAACUCCGUGCCAGCAGCCGCGGUAAUACGGAGGGAUCGAACGUUAAUCGGAAUUACUGGGCGUAAAGCGCACGCAGGUGGUUUGUUAAGUGGGAUGUGAAAGCCCCGGGCUUAACCUGGGAACUGCAUUCCGAACUGACGAACUAGAGUACGAUAGAGGGGGGUAGAAUUCAGAGUGUAGCGGUGAAAUGCGUAGAUAUUCUGAGGAAUACCGGUGGCGAAGGCGGCCCCCUGGAUUGAUACUGACACUCAUGUGCGAAAGCGUGGGGAGCAAACAGGAUUAGAUACCCUGGUAGUCCACGCCGUAAACGAUGUCUACUAGCCGUUGGGAGGCUUGACCUUUUAGUGGCGAAGCUAACGCGAUAAGUAGACCGCCUGGGGAGUACGGUCGCAAGAUUAAAACUCAAAUGAAUUGACGGGGGCCCGCACAAGCGGUGGAGCAUGUGGUUUAAUUCGAUGCAACGCGAAGAACCUUACCAGGCCUUGACAUCCUGAGAACUUUCUAGAGAUAGAUCGGUGCCUUCGGGAACUCAGUGACAGGUGUUGCAUGGCUGUCGUCAGCUCGUGUCGUGAGAUGUU
rnacentral:rRNA from 1 species